UCAGUGUAUAUUUUUGUACCUGAGAUAAGACUCUGGAGGUCAAGCGGAGUUAAUGAUUGAAUAUGUCACGUUGCAGCAUGAACGCGCAUCACGUUGUUUGCUUAUCAUUCCUACACUUCAAGAAAAUGCAAAUAUAGAAAGAGGUUAUGUGACCCCAGGUGUACAACCUCCUGAAUGCUGAAGCGGGCCAUCCUUCACUGCAUGAUCCCUAUUGUACUAGACUGCCACUCUGCAGAGAGGGGGCGCUGUACCAGGGCUCUGCACAUAACAGGCACAUAUGACUACCGUAUCAUCAAAAACCUCCACAUCACACAUGUGGUCAGUGCCACAGCUGAAAUCUCAGAUGCUUUCCCGGGUGUUUUAAGCUAUCUUUGGCUACGGCUAAGUGAUGACGCACAGCAGGAUCUUCAGCAGACCUUUCCAGAAGCUUCUCAGUUCAUUGCUGAGGCUUUGCGGCGGACACCAGAAAAUAAUUUGACAGACUGAAGAAAAGCUUUGUUCAUCAUAUGAUGACUUAAACACAAACAUCCAUUAAUCUGACACAAAUGGACGUCUGUGGAUGGCCUUAUUCCAAUAAGAAUGGAAAACGUAAAAUAGAAUGUGUCAGGGAAUACUAGUGAAUAUAUUUUAUCAUAAGCCAAAGAAAGAAGACAAAUAUCAUUAUACAAAUGCUAUUUUUCAUAUUUGUUCUAAACUAGCAAGAUUAAGGUUCAAGUAGGAGGAGGGGGUAAAAAGCAAAAAAGUAAUUGUUUUUGAUGUGAUUUCACUGUUUGAAUGGGUACAAAAAGGAUGCCUUUUUUAAUUCUAGGAUGAGGGACUAAAGGUGACGAAAUGUAUUUGUGUCCAGAUUAGGUUUGUAAUGAUAUGAAUGUUUUGUUUUUAAGCUUCUUCCAAUAUAGGAGAGAGAUCUAUUGACAAAAAGGCAAUAAAGUCAGUAAAAAACAAGUUUGAAUCAGUGGAGAAAACACAAACAGCACAGAACAUGCACAGCUGCCCUUUUUCUGCCCUUAAAGAUUUACACUGAGGAAGAAAAGUUUGGAAUCUCACAGGAGCACACCAAAUUCAUUUUAGUAGAAGAGCCAGAUGUUUGGCUAGUGUUGCGGUGACAG